rnacentral:precursor_RNA from 1 species
AGGCAGUGUAAUUAGCUGAUUGUACUCUGGCGCUUACAAUCACUAAUUCCACUGCCAUC